GUUUAUUUUGGGUUCAGGUCGGGC
rnacentral:siRNA from 1 species